rnacentral:rRNA from 1 species
CCUACGGGAGGCAGCAGUGAGGAAUAUUGGUCAAUGGACGGAAGUCUGAACCAGCCAUGCCGCGUGCAGGAAGACGGCUCUAUGAGUUGUAAACUGCUUUUGUACAAGGGUAAACCUGAAUACGUGUAUUCAGCUGAAAGUACUUUACGAAUAAGGAUCGGCUAACUCCGUGCCAGCAGCCGCGGUAAUACGGAGGGUCCAAGCGUUAUCCGGAUUUAUUGGGUUUAAAGGGUGCGUAGGCGGAGUGAUAAGUGAGAGGUGAAAUGUCCGGGCUUAACUCGGGAACUGCCUCUAAUACUGGUGAUCUAGAGAGUAGUAGCGGUAGGCAGAAUGUAUGGUGUAGCGGUGAAAUGCGUAGAGAUGAGACAGAACACCGAUGGCGAAGGCAGCUUACCAAGCUAUAUCUGACGUUGAGGCACGAAAGCGUGGGGAGCAAACAGGAUUAGAUACCCUGGUAGUC